CCCGCUGAACUUAAGCAUAUCAAUAAGCGGAGGAAAAGAAACUAACAAGGAUUCCCCUAGUAACUGCGAGUGAAGCGGGAAAAGCUCAAAUUUAAAAUCUGGCAUGUCUUUGCCUGUCCAAUUUGUAUUCUGAAAAACUGCUUUCCCUGCUGAACCGGGUCCAAUUUCCUUGAAAGAAGGCGCCUUAAAGGGGAAAAAUCCCUCCUCUGACACGAACUACCAUGACUUUGUGAUGCGCUCUCAAAGAGUCGAGUUGUUUGGGAAUGCAGCUCAAAAUGGGUGGUGAAUUCCAUCUAAAGCUAAAUAUAGGCGAGAGACCGAUAGCGAACAAGUACCGUGAGGGAAAGAUGAAAAGCACUUUGGAAAGAGAGUGAAACAGUACGUGAAAUUGCUGAAAGGGAAACACUUGAAGUCAGUCGCGUCUACCGAGACUCAGCCUCGCUUUGGCUUGGUGCACUUUCUGGUUCGACGGGCCAGCAUCAAUUUUGACCCUCGGAUAAAGGUCGAGGGAACGUGGCACCUUCACGUGUGUGAUAUACUUCUAUGACAUACGACAAUGGUGAUAUAGAAGCACACCACGCCCUUCUCGCCGGCGUUGCGUCCACCCACGUGCUCAUGAUGCUGAUGUAGUGGCUAUGACUGACACCUCUUCAACCAGAGACAGGCGAAGUCGAAUUCGCUACAUUCAAAUCCACCUCUAGCGAGUCUGAGUACUAUUACCUGUCACUCGCUGUACUACGACAUGACUGUGACUACCAUGACGCUGACCAUCUCAAUCUCCAUGCAGCAGAUCCACAUCUCGCCAUCUGCCGUAGUAGCGAAGACGCACACGCCGAUAGCCCUUCCCAUCCCUACGCAUGCUAUACGUACCGUACUGCAGGUUUACGCCUAUACAAUAAAAGACCGUAUCGUCAGUUUGUGGAUGUGCAUAUCGAUAUGAUGACACUGCCGGGGCGACGGAAACGGAUCGCCGCUCCCCCGGGCCCGUCCUCCUGGCGAAGUAAGAUUCCCCUUUCACCUGAA
rnacentral:rRNA from 1 species